GGCUCAGAUUGAACGCUGGCGGCAUGCUUUACACAUGCAAGUCGAACGGCAGCGGGGGCUUCGGCCUGCCGGCGAGUGGCGAACGGGUGAGUAAUGCAUCGGAACGUGCCCAUGUCGUGGGGGAUAACGUAGCGAAAGCUACGCUAAUACCGCAUACGCCCUGAGGGGGAAAGCGGGGGAUUCUUCGGAACCUCGCGCGAUUGGAGCGGCCGAUGUCGGAUUAGCUAGUAGGUGAGGUAAAGGCUCACCUAGGCGACGAUCCGUAGCGGGUCUGAGAGGAUGAUCCGCCACACUGGGACUGAGACACGGCCCAGACUCCUACGGGAGGCAGCAGUGGGGAAUUUUGGACAAUGGGCGCAAGCCUGAUCCAGCCAUGCCGCGUGAGUGAAGAAGGCCUUCGGGUUGUAAAGCUCUUUCGGCCGGGAAGAAAUCGUGGUCUCUAACAUAGGCCAUGGAUGACGGUACCGGACUAAGAAGCACCGGCUAACUACGUG
rnacentral:rRNA from 1 species